AAGUUAGUAAGAUAAAUUUAAUCUGUUAGUCUUUUAAACUUACAAUGCCUCUAGGCCUAACUUA
rnacentral:tRNA from 1 species